rnacentral:rRNA from 1 species
UACGUAGGGUGCGAGCGUUGUCCGGAAUUAUUGGGUGUAAAGAGCUUGUAGGCGGUUUGUCGCGUCUGCUGUGAAAAUCCGGGGCUCAACCCCGGACUUGCAGUGGGUACGGGCAGACUAGAGUGUGGUAGGGGAGACUGGAAUUCCUGGUGUAGCGGUGGAAUGCGCAGAUAUCAGGAGGAACACCGGUGGCGAAGGCGGGUCUCUGGGCCGUAACUGACGCUGAGGAGCGAAAGCAUGGGGAGCGAACAGG